rnacentral:rRNA from 1 species
UACGAAGGGUGCAAGCGUUACUCGGAAUUACUGGGCGUAAAGCGUGCGUAGGCGGUUUGUUAAGUCUGUCGUGAAAGCCCUGGGCUCAACCUGGGAAUUGCGAUGGAUACUGGCAAGCUAGAGUACGGUAGAGGAUGGUGGAAUUCCCGGUGUAGCGGUGAAAUGCGCAGAUAUCGGGAAGAACACCCGUGGCGAAGGCGGCUCUCUGGAACGCAACUGACGCUGAGACGCGAAAGCGUGGGGAGCAAACAGG